AAAGUAAGUAAAAUAUAUGAAACUGGACCUGGGGUUUUUCAUAGGAAGGGCUUUCAGUCCUCACUUUCACUCUAUCCAACUGCUUCAGCCACAUUCUAAAUCCGUAGGGAUUAACGGCAUAUGGCACAGAAUUGCAUCCUGGUUUUUAGAGAAAAAUAAUCCAGAUGGUGUAGACGGGUACUGAACACACACACACACACACACACACACACACACACACACGAGUCAUGUUUCAUUAUAGUGUGACUGGUGUUAUGCUAUUGUUCACGAAGGUAAAAAUGACCCAGAAUAUGAAGUGUUGAAUGCACAGGAGGCUGUGAGAAGAUGCUCAGUUUAUUUAAUGAAUGAAACAAACAAAAAAAAACCCCAAACACUACAAAGUUGUGAACAGGACAGGAAAAGCAAAGGCAUACGAGGAUAUGCAUUUCAAACAGAAUGUUUUUUGAGCUUAUCUUGAAUCUGACUGUUUGCACAACGUUUCCCUUGUUCAUAUUUGUUUUCCCUUUAUAUGCAGAAAUACUAUUUUCAGGACCUAUGCACCGAGUCUGGAUUUUUCCCACCUCGCCACUCUUCGAAGCAGAUGAAAGGCAUAUCUUAUAUCUGUACAAGUUUCUUUCGGCUCUGUUUUGGGUUCUUACGCCUAUAACACUGGGUUAAUUAUAUCCCCCAUGAAUUAAGCAGAUGAGGACACACUUCCUUCAGUGGAGCUAUAUAUACAUAUUUUCUACAUAUGGCCAGAGUAAGACUAAGCAAGCUUGCUGCUAACAUUCGCGGGCCUGGGGCAAGAAUGUAUACUAUAUGCAGGACUAUUUAAAACUAUACAUCAAAUUAGCAAAUUAUUAGAUAAAACAAAAUUUUUUCAUACCUUGACUGAGAUACUUUCAUAAAAAUAUACUUUCAUAAAAAAAUAAGCUAACUUUAAGCUUAGGAUUUCUAGAUUCUCAGGUUUCGAUUCUAGGAUAUGACAGUGUGAGGAGGAUUGGUCCUCGGCCCCUCAUCCCCUUCUCUUCACCUUGGAUUCCUCUUGUCUUUUCAAGGGCUUUACACAUGUGUGAAGCAUCCCAGCUUACACAUCUAAAUUUCUACCAACCCUCCCAAGAAGCAGCUGUGGCUACAUAUCUCCAUGGAGUAUAUUCAAACAGAAAAUUGUUUUGAAAGUUCUUUUCCCAAAAUUAUAGAAAUUUCAAGCGAACAUCUAGAAACACUUGCCUUAACCACGAUUAUUCUUUCCACUCUACUUUUUCCCAUGCCUAUGUCAUGUAAUAUUUAGAAUGCUGGUGCGUGAUAUCUCUUGGUAAAUGUAUCCCUGGAUGAAGAAAAUGAAGUUCAAGGAUGUCAACAUUCGGAAGUUUUAAAAAUUCAUAGGUUAAGAAAAGAAUACACUUAUCCCACGUCUCCAAGGGAAAGCCAAUAUCAAUAUUGGGACAUUAGCUGAAGAAUUUUUCUUCCUAAAAUACUAUUAAGAACAAUUACCAAACCUAAGGUGCAACUGAGGGAAAAGCUAAUCAAACAAACUUCAGAAGACAUUUUACAAUGAAUAUUUAUUAGUCAAUUUUAAGAUUGUGAAUGAGGUAUGGUCUACUACAGACGUUCUCUGUCAAUAUUUUAUGACUGUGCUGAAGUGUCCUGGGAGAACCUAGGGAGGAAAUUGCUUUCUGGGAGCUAAACUGUGAAGUCAACAUACAGUAGAUCAGAUCAGAGAUCUGCGAAGUUGCCAUAAAGGAAAAUAUUGGCUUCCUGAAUUGCAAAACUAAAUAAUCCAAUAGAAGUAGUGAAAGAUCAAGAGAAGGAAUACGUCCAUCAGAGAGAAGUCGGUCAGAAGAUGAAGUACAGAGAAGAGGGUCUCACAAUUGAGUUACCUGUGUCACUAGAAAUAAAGUCAGGGGGAAAAUAUGCCUUUUUAGACAAAUCGUAAAUUCACCUGUAUCAUUGGAUAGGCCAAGCCUAGGGCGGGCAUGCACCUGUCAGCUGUCCUAUCCUGCCGUCACAUAUUUAUAUCAUUUACCUUCCUCUCCUUGUUCUAACUCCGUUCUCUCCAGGCCUUCUCCUGAUAAAGAAUGUGUUUCCCAUGGAGAACCGUCUAACUGGCCGAUCGGGCCUGCCAGACUGAUACGGAUUAUGUGACCACGAUUGUGUUGUUGUGUAUCCAUCAAGAGGCAUUGUAGUCCAUGAGACUGUGACUUCUCUGCCCAGACAUCUUAUUAGCAGAAACCUGAUAUUUCUGUCAUAUUUCCGGCUUAAUCAAAUAAGCAAACCAAAAGUACAUUUUCCAGCCUCUCUUGGAGGAUACUAUGGCUGAAAAACAACAACAACAACAACAAAACAGCCGAGAAUCAAAGGCUCCCAGGACAGUGGUAGUGUGCAGUGGUCACACUUCUCUUAAGCUACUCACUGCUGAACACUUUGUUCUAUGGAAAACCACAACAAAACAACGGUCUCCUUUAGAUUAGCUGCCACUGUAGAGAGUCUGUGUUGCCUGCACCCAAAUCCGAUCCUAAGUGACGGCCUAGGUCUUCUAGUCAGCCUUUGAAAAAUUGUUGUCCCAAAGCUGAGGAUGGCAAAUUCAUUAAGUCAACAAGUAAUAAUCGAGUGCGUACUGUGUGUGACGUUCUUGGCAGACACUUGUACGUAAGCCGGUACUGUUCCUCGUCCGUAGGGUGAAAAAUGAGUUUAGAGAGAAGACAGGGAAAGUGAGAGUAACCAAGGGUGAGUAAAACUGGCAUUAUGGCAAAUACCCCGAAGGAAAUGAUGGGAGUGAAGGGCUAGGCACAGCGAGGUAGAAAGCAUUCACCUAGGGGCUGGCGAGAGCUGCUAUGGACAAAUGCAUUUUUGGAACAAACAUGGAAUAAAUGGAGCAUGAGCUUUGCAAGGAGCAGCUUUAGGGGAUGAAGAGCGUUUGCAAAUCCACCUGGGAAUGGCAUUUCCUGGGGCCUCCAGGUUUUGCUACCAGGCAUCUGCUGUCACUCUAAUCUUGUCCUUUUGCUUGACUUCUUAUAAUGUCUCAAGACAAAGCAGAGAGGGACAGUUUGGGAGGCUUUUUGCAUAAUUAGGAAUGAGCCCCACACUUGGUUUCACUUUCCUUUGCCAGCCACCCUUGCAUGGGAGUUUAUUAUCAGUUCUUUACCAUUGUCUCCACUUCCUCAUACACAAGGAUGGCUUUGCUGUUGUGCAUCCCAGUCUUUCCCUUCCAAAACCUUUCCUGAGAAUGAAUUCCAGCAGAGUGCUCUCUAAGGCUGUAAUUACGCUUCUGAAAUAAAAAAUGCUUUAUUGGAUGAGGUCUGUUUUUCAUUGAUUCUCUCUACACCACCAACAUGUAUGAAGCCUUAUUUCACAGUAUUUACAGGGAAAAAGUACCAGCGACUAGGCCUAGCUAUAUAUCAUAACAUGUAUUCUUGUAAAUUAGGGCAGUUCCAGAACCUAGAGUGAGAUCACUACGGAAGAAAAUUUUGAAAUAUCUCUUUCCAAGGAUCUUUGAACAAAAAAUUAGUUGUGAUUAAAAAUUCCAUCCAGAUCUGGGGUUCGCAAACUUUUCCACAACGGGAUCAUUGUCGUUAUGUGAAUUUGUUUCUGAAAGGAUGGCUAAGAAGUGUGGGAGGAGAUCGGAGUAAUGUGUUGCAGGAUUUGCUGCUCGUGGGGACAGGGUAUAGAACUGUUACUCUCUAGUUGUCCCCUUCUUGCGGGAAAUAUUAUUAGGGCCCA
rnacentral:lncRNA from 1 species